rnacentral:rRNA from 1 species
CAGAUGGGAGCUUGCUCCCUGAUGUUAGCGGCGGACGGGUGAGUAACACGUGGGUAACCUGCCUGUAAGACUGGGAUAACUCCGGGAAACCGGGGCUAAUACCGGAUGGUUGUUUGAACCGCAUGGUUCAAACAUAAAAGGUGGCUUUGGCUACCACUUACAGAUGGACCCGCGGCGCAUUAGCUAGUUGGUGAGGUAACGGCUCACCAAGGCAACGAUGCGUAGCCGACCUGAGAGGGUGAUCGGCCACACUGGGACUGAGACACGGCCCAGACUCCUACGGGAGGCAGCAGUAGGGAAUCUUCCGCAAUGGACGAAAGUCUGACGGAGCAACGCCGCGUGAGUGAUGAAGGUUUUCGGAUCGUAAAGCUCUGUUGUUAGGGAAGAACAAGUACCGUUCGAAUAGGGCGGUACCUUGACGGUACCUAACCAGAAAGCCACGGCUAACUACGUGCCAGCAGCCGCGGUAAUACGUAGGUGGCAAGCGUUGUCCGGAAUUAUUGGGCGUAAAGGGCUCGCAGGCGGUUUCUUA